ACUUUUAACUUGUUUAUAACUUCCAGCAACUAAUUCCAUAUGUGGAAGAAGAUGGCUCAAAGAAUGAUGAUCGAGCUGGCCCACCUCGUUUUGCUAGUGAAGAGAGGCGAGAAAUUGCUGAAGUAAAUAAAAAACUCAAACAGAAGAAUCAACAGCUGAAGCAAAUUAUGGAUCAAUUACGAAAUCUCAUCUGGGAUAUAAAUGCCAUGUUGGCAAUGAGGAACUAAACUGAUAUUUACAUUUCCUGCUUUACACAUUAUACCAUUUUUUCCCCUCAAGUAUUCUUCCCUUUGAAGAAGAUUAUUUAUCUGUUUGUAUUCCAGUCACUAAAACUAAAGUUCUAUUUUUACAUUGUGGUUUUACAUUAAAGUAGUCAUUGGCAGUCUUUUGUUUAAGCUAUUGAUUUUGUGAAAGAUUAUAAUAAUAAACUUUGACAGGGUUUGUGUUUUGGUUAA